rnacentral:tRNA from 1 species
GCUGGCGUAGCUCAGUUGGCAGAGCAACUGACUUGUAAUCAGUAGGUCGGGGGUUCGAAUCCUCUCGCCAGCU